rnacentral:rRNA from 1 species
UACGUAGGGGGCAAGCGUUAUCCGGAAUCAUUGGGCGUAAAGCGCGCGUAGGCGGCCCUGUAAGUCCGUUGUGAAAGUCAAAGGCUCAACCUUUGAAAGCCGAUGGAUACUGCAGGGCUAGAGUCCGGAAGAGGCGAGUGGAAUUCCUGGUGUAGCGGUGGAAUGCGCAGAUAUCAGGAGGAACACCAAUAGCGAAGGCAGCUCGCUGGGACGGUACUGACGCUAAGGCGCGAAAGCGUGGGGAGCGAACAGG